CACACAUUUUUGGGAGUACCAAGAUGGCGACCAACUGGCAUCCCCCUCGAUAUGUAUACACUAUCAAGUUCCCCAGAUCAGAUGGUGAGGAUAAGCGGCUUGGGGACAAGCUGAAAAGGUUUAUGUAAAUACAGAAAGAUGGGUGGAAAAUGGAAUGAAGCAUUUUUCAAGGUGUGCGUCAUUAUCGUUUUCCGAGGAACGCCGAUUACAGUGCAGAUCUACAGCGGACGUGGCAUCUGUAAAGCUGCCGUUUCCAUUGGGUGAUCGAAGAGGAAGUGCCAGGGUCAGCGUUCGGGUGAGCGAGCGAAGCGAUCAUUUUGGACAUUUGUCCAGUCCAUAUUUGGAGUUUAUUAUUGUUGUGGGUGCGUUUGUUUGUGUUACUCCUCCAUGCGUGUUAACGUAGCAGUCGUUUUAAAGGUUUCCUGUAACAUCUAUGCUAUUUUUUUUUUUUACUUCCGUUAGCCCAUCUAUGGCAUUUAACAUGAUGUGUUAGCAGGAAGCCGAGAUUAUAAAAUCAGGUUUGGUCGAAUAUUGGGAUGUUUCAAUACAUACAAUGUGUACUGUAAUUCCCGGCCUACAGAGCGCUU